GCGCUGGUUGGCCGCGGCCCUGGUAUGCUGCCCGUCGUUGCCAUCGGCGUGGCCAUGUUCCUGGGUGGCAUUUCCGGUUCCGGCCCGGCCUGCGCG
rnacentral:tRNA from 1 species